UACGUAGGGUGCAAGCGUUGUCCGGAAUUAUUGGGCGUAAAGAGCUCGUAGGCGGUUUGUCGCGUCGAAUGUGAAAACCCGGGGCUCAACCCCGGGCCUGCAUUCGAUACGGGCAGACUAGAGUUCGGUAGGGGAGUCUGGAAUUCCUGGUGGAGCGGUGAAAUGCGCAGAUAUCAGGAGGAACACCCGUAGCGAAGGCGGCACUCUGGGCCGGAACUGACGCUGAGGAGCGAAAGCGUGGGGAGCGAACAGG
rnacentral:rRNA from 1 species